rnacentral:rRNA from 1 species
AAUCUUCCGCAAUGGACGAAAGUCUGACGGAGCAUUGCAGCGUGAGUGAUGAAAGCCUUAGGGUCGUAAAACUCUGUUGUUAGGGAAGAAUAGGUAUCGGAGUAAUAUGCCGGUACUUUGAUGGUACCUUACCAGAAAGCCUCUGCUAAAUACGUGCUUGCAGCCGCGGUAAUACGUAGGGGGCGAGCGUUGUCCGGAAUUAUUGGGCGUAAAGGGCGCGCAGGCGGUUUCUUAAGUCUGAUGUGAAAUCUCGUGGCUUAGCCACGAGCGGUCGUUGGAAACUGGGAAACUUGAGUACAGAAGAGGAGAGUGGAAUUCCACGUUUAGCGGUGAAAUGCGUAGAGAUGUGGAGGAACACCAGUGGAGAAGGCGGCUCUUUGGUCUUUAACUGACGCUGAGGUGCGAAAGCGUGGGGAGCAAAC